AAAUGAUAGUAAGACCUGGGGUGAGGCCUUCGAAAUACCAAAUCCCAGCUUAAGUCCAAAAGGCCUACACUUUAACUAGGAACAGAAAGGUCCGCGAAAUAACCGCGUUGCUCGAUCAGCGAAACCAGAGUUAUGGUCUUCUGGGACGAGACAUUCGUAAUGGAUCCAUCAUAUACGUUAUGUUCUUUUAGAUGGUUUUAAUUGUGGGCGAGAGUCUUCAGUCCUCUUUGG
rnacentral:misc_RNA from 1 species